rfam:Bombyx mori DNA, contig: Bm_scaf21_contig14946, strain: p50T/Dazao, build 2, whole genome shotgun sequence.
UUAACACAAAUUUGUAUGGAGUUGGAACGUUUACCCACGAUUGCCGCUAGGGGCGCUGUUCCAACUGCAUAUACAUUUGAGUUA